GAUGAAGAACGCAGCGAAAUGCGAUAAGUAAUGUGAAUUGCAGAAUUCAGUGAAUCAUCGAAUCUUUGAACGCACAUUGCGCCCGCCAGUAUUCUGGCGGGCAUGCCUGUUCGAGCGUCAUUACAACCCUCAGGCCCCCGGGCCUGGCGUUGGGGAUCGGCGGAGCCCCCCGUGGGCACACGCCGUCCCCCAAAUACAGUGGCGGUCCCGCCGCAGCUUCCAUCGCGUAGUAGCUAACACCUCGCGACUGGAGAGCGGCGCGGCCACGCCGUAAAACACCCAACUCUUCUGAAGUUGACCUCGAAUCAGGUAGGAAUACCCGCUGAACUUAAGCAUAUCAAUAAGGAGGA
rnacentral:misc_RNA from 1 species